UACAGAGGUGGCAAGCGUUGUUCGGAAUUACUGGGACGGUAAAGGGCGCGUGAGGCGGUUCGUUAAGUCCUGUGAUGAAAUCCCUCGGCUCAACCGGGGAACGACGCAUGAAACUGGCAGCUAGAGUACCAAAGAGGGGGGUGGAAUUCCCGGUGUAGCGGUGAAGUGCGUAGAUAUCGGGAGGAACACCUGUGGCGAAGGCGGCCCCCUG
rnacentral:rRNA from 1 species